UUGGAGGGCAAGUCUGGUGCCAGCAGCCGCGGUAAUUCCAGCUCCAAUAGCGUAUAUUAAAGUUGUUGCAGUUAAAAAGCUCGUAGUUGAAUUUCGGGGUUAGUAGGUUGGUCAUGCCACUGGUAUGUACUGGUCUCACUGAUUCCUCCUUCCUGAUGAGCCGUAAUGCCAUUAAUUUGGUGUUGCGAGGAAUCUGGACUGUUACUUUGAAAAAAUUAGAGUGUUUAAAGCAAGCUAACGCUUGAAUACAUUAGCAUGGAAUAAUGAAAUAGGACGUUCGAUCUUAUUUUGUUGGUUUCUAGGAUUGACGUAAUGAUUAAUAGGGAUAGUUGGGGGCAUUAGUAUUCAAUUGUCAGAGGUGAAAUUCUUGGAUUUAUUGAAGACUAACUACUGCGAAAGCAUUUGCCAAGGAUGUUUUCAUUAAUCAAGAACGAAAGUUAGGGGAUCGAAGACGAUCAGAUACCGUCGUAGUCUUAACCAUAAACUAUGCCGACUAGGGAUCGGAUGAUGUUAAUUUUUUAAUGACUCAUUCGGCGCCUUACGGGAAACCAAAGUGUUUGGGUUC
rnacentral:rRNA from 2 species